rnacentral:rRNA from 1 species
AUUGAACGCUGGCGGCAGGCCUAACACAUGCAAGUCGAGCGGAUGAAGGGAGCUUGCUCCUGGAUUCAGCGGCGGACGGGUGAGUAAUGCCUAGGAAUCUGCCUGGUAGUGGGGGAUAACGUCCGGAAACGGGCGCUAAUACCGCAUACGUCCUGAGGGAGAAAGUGGGGGAUCUUCGGACCUCACGCUAUCAGAUGAGCCUAGGUCGGAUUAGCUAGUUGGUGGGGUAAAGGCCUACCAAGGCGACGAUCCGUAACUGGUCUGAGAGGAUGAUCAGUCACACUGGAACUGAGACACGGUCCAGACUCCUACGGGAGGCAGCAGUGGGGAAUAUUGGACAAUGGGCGAAAGCCUGAUCCAGCCAUGCCGCGUGUGUGAAGAAGGUCUUCGGAUUGUAAAGCACUUUAAGUUGGGAGGACGGGCAGUAAGUUAAUACCUUGCCGUUUUGACGUUACCAACAGAAUAAGCACCGGCUAACUUCGUG